rnacentral:rRNA from 1 species
GCUUGACUGUAGCUUGUAAUUGGGUUCGGGCUUUUUUUGCGCAGCCUAGGUGGAGGCAACGAUGAUUUUUUUCCGGAAAAAUUUAAGCCGUUAGUGAGAGACCACUCUGAAAAGGCUAGAAUCCUAAUAAUGAUCCUUGAAUCAGGACAUUUGACAGUUGCGGGUGGGCAGUUUUACUGGGGCGGUAUUCUCCUAAAAAGUAACGGAGGGGUGCAAAGGUUCCCUCAAGCUGGACGGAAAUCAGCUUAAGAGUGUAAAGGCAAAAGGGAGCUUGACUGCAAGACCUACAAGUCGAGCAGGGGCGAAAGCCGGCCUUAGUGAUCCGACGGUACCACGUGGAAGGGCCGUCGCUCAACGGAUAAAAGUUA